rnacentral:rRNA from 1 species
GUUAGCAUCUGCAGAUUCGCCCUUAGAGUUUGAUCCUGGCUCAGGAUGAACGCUGGCGGCGUGCCUAAUACAUGCAAGUCGAACGGUCUCGCAAGAGAUAGUGGCGACCGGGUGCGUAACACGUAGCUGACCUGCCCCUCAGCGGGGGACAACUGUUGGAAACGACAGCUAAUACCGCAUGAGCUUGAGAUGACCAGAGUGUCUCAAGGAAACUUUUGGGGCUGAGGGAGGGGGCUGCGGCCCAUCAGGUAGUUGGUGCGGUAACGGCGCACCAAGCCGACGACGGGUAGGGGGCCUGAGAGGGUGGUCCCCCACACUGGGACUGACACACGGCCCAGACUCCUACGGGAGGCAGCAGUAAGGGAUAUUGCGCAAUGGGCGAAAGCCUGACGCAGCAACGCCGCGUGGAGGAAGACAGCCUUCGGGUUGUAAACUCGUUUUGCGUCUGACAAGCGAGGAUGGUAGGACGCGAAUAAGUCACGGCUAACUACGUGCCAGCAGCCGCGGUAAAACGUAGGUGGCGAGCGUUAUCCGGAUUUACUGGGCGUAAAGGGUGUGCAGGCGGGUGGUCAGGUGGUGUAUGAAAUAGCCCGGCUUAACCGGGCGAGGUUAUGCCAGACUGACUAUCUGGAGUGCGAGAGAGGGGCGUGGAAUUCCGGGUGUAGUGGUGAAAUGCGUAGAGAUCCGGAGGAACCCCAGAGGCGAUGCGGCGCCCUGGCUCGCAACUGACGCUCAGACACGACAGCAUGGGGAGCGAACGGGAUUAGAAACCCCGGUAGUCCAUGCCGUAAACGAUGCAAACUAGCGCUGACGUCUCAACCCCGCCGGUGCGCAGCUACGCGAUAGUUUGCGCUGGGGAGUACGCGCAGCUAACUCAAAGAUGACGAGUCCGCACAGCAGCGACGUGUGGUAUUCGAGUACACGAAGCACUACUUGGCUGACAUGCA